rnacentral:tRNA from 1 species
GGGUAUGUAGCUCAGUUGGUAGAGCAUUGGGCUUUUAACCUAAUGGUCGGAGGUUCAAGUCCUGCUAUACCCA